UCGCCCAGCAAGCGUGGUGGAGUUUGGUCACACAGCCUUCAGGGCAGCAGCUGCCCCAGUUCCAGGUAACUGAGAUAUAGAUGGCAUUCAUGCUUAGUCUAUCUAAACUGCAUUCAUCUGGAUGAAGGUUCUGUCAGGGGAAGCCCAGCCUCUCACUGCUGCUCUUCAGGUGGUGGAGAAGAGUCUGCAGGACUGGCAGUGCUGGAAGCUGCUGAGUUUUCCCACUAUGGGAUUCCUUCCAUCAGAUGGGGGUGGGUGCAGAACUCAGGACCUUGGGAAGUCCCUGCUGAAGCAGUGGGGCAAACAGGGAGUUGUUCUCCUGGUUUUUAGGGUUUUGAGAUUAAGCUGCUUUGAGUAACUUAUCACUGAUGCUUGUGACUGAUUUGGUCAAAAACUGAAGUCUUUAAGGGGCUGCCAGGUCCAAACAAGCUGUGAGGAGGGAGUCCAAUGCCUGUUGCAAUGGGGAAAUGCACUGUGAUUCCUUGUUCCUGAGCUUUUUGUCAACCAAAAGCUGGAGCGACCUCAGGGAUCCCUUCCCAUGUCCGUGCAGAUCAGGUUUCAGUGUUAGCAGAGGGCAGCAUCCUGUUCAUAAAGGCACAUUACUGCUUGUAACCCCAGCCGUGCAGGGCACUGCUGUGGGCGUAGGGAUUGUAUAAAUGCCUGCAACAAACGAUGGAACGCGUGAACUUUGGCACUGUGCACUGCAGCCCUGCUGUUUGUGAUCAUAGGUUAUCUCAGAUAUGCUUGUAGGCCUAAAGUUGUAGGAGGUUGAGGAGGAGCAGCAUUUACACACUCACCCAGAUCUUGUGACACUCCUUUUCCACUCUGUUGAAUGCAGAAGAUGCUGUAGAGGGAAAAGCUUUUGCAACAGCAGCCUCUGCUUCCUGCAGCACUGCAUGGACCUCACAUCCUUCAGAGCUUGUAAUGAGGUUUCCUGUGAAACCAGCGAGGGAAGCUGAGAAUCAGCAGUCACUUUCCAUUGGGUGCUUCUCAGGCAGAAGCAAAGCAGCUGCAGCUUCCAGACCUUCAGGCGAGUGGCGAUGCUUCAUUACUGAAGAGCUGCUGCCAAAGCAGGGACCACUUCCCUUUCUCCUCAAUGAGAUGUUAUGCAGCUCAGCAGGUCAAUGACUUCUCCAAACGCCAACGAGUGAGAAGGAAAAGUGGGAGAGCGGUUUGUGCAGAGAGGAUAACAGCUGCUUAUUAACGCCCUGCAUUUCCGCUUCCCCUUCUGUGGUGGGAGAUGAAAA